GGCCCGCGGAGAGGACUGCUGAGCACAAGGGGACUGCGCGCUGCUUAGGGCAUGAGUCCGUUUGCACCGGGUGGCCCACAAGACUUUCGGGGACAUUAGAAUGUGAGAAGAAUGACCUGUGUGAUCUGAGCAUUGGAGAUUUCUGGAGCCACAGUCACAGAGUUUUCGAUUGAGUCUGUUUGCAGUGAAGCCAGCAGAUAGAUAUUUUGACAGUCCUUUUAGGUAAUUUUGAAGCACCUCACCAUCUCUGUUUCCUUCAACAUAAGUCUUUUAUUGUGUUCUUCAUCAGUUCUUCUUUUUCUUUCCCUGGCUAUUUCCAAUACUAAGUUCUUAUACUUGAGUAUUUCUAUUCUAACUUCUAUAAAAUUCACCCAUUUCAUGACUGCAGCCCCUCAAAGACAAGAACAAUGUUAAUCAUCCAUUUAUUCAUGAAUAAUUUUUUUUAUCCUGAUGGAUGUCCUCUCAGCUUGCUAAAGUAAGAAAACAAACAUGUUUAGGAGACAUAGCAUCAAGGUCAUAGUUUAUCUAUCCAUUUAUACAAAGAAGCUUUUAAGCACUUAUUACAUGCCAGGCCUAACAGAACCUGACACAUAAUAGGUCCUUAAAAUAAAAAUAGGCUGAAGAGAAUGAACAAACAAAUGAACUAUUACUGCUCUGAUAAUGAAUUCUGAAUUUAUGUCCACUGCCUUGCUCUUUAUUCUGGUGACUGGGUACUGGGUCAUUUUUUUCUUCCAGAUAGAAAUAUU